UACAGAGGGGGCAAGCGUUGUUCGGAAUUACUGGGCGUAAAGGGCGCGUAGGCGGCCUUCUAAGUCGAACGUGAAAUCCCUGGGCUCAACCCAGGAACUGCGUCCGAUACUGGAAGGCUUGAAUUCGGGAGAGGGAUGCAGAAUUCCAGGUGUAGCGGUGAAAUGCGUAGAUAUCUGGAGGAAUACCGGUGGCGAAGGCGGCAUCCUGGACCGAUAUUGACACUGAUGAGCGAAAGCUAGGGGAGCAAACGGG
rnacentral:rRNA from 1 species